GAUGAACGCUGGCGGCGUGCCUAAUACAUGCAAGUCGAGCGAACGGACGAGAAGCUUGCUUCUCUGAUGUUAGCGGCGGACGGGUGAGUAACACGUGGAUACCUACCUAUAAGGCUGGGAUAACCUCGGGAAACCGGAGCUUAUACCGGAUAAUAUUUUGAACCGCAUGGGUCAAAAGUGAAAAACGGGCUUUCUGUCAAUUAUAGAUGGAUCCGCGCUGCAUUAGCUAGUUGGUAAGGUAACGGCUUACCAAGGCAACGAUGCAUAGCCGACCUGAGAGGGUGAUCGGCCACACUGGAACUGAGACACGGUCCAGACUCCUACGGGAGGCAGCAGUAGGGAAUCUUCCGCAAUGGGCGAAAGCCUGACGGAGCAACGCCGCGUGAGUGAUGAAGGUCUUCGGAUCGUAAAACUCCGUUAUUAGGGAAGAACAUAUGUGUAAGUAACUGUGCACAUCUUGACGGUACCUAAUCAGAAAGCCACGGCUAACUACGUG
rnacentral:rRNA from 1 species